ensembl:lncRNA
AUGACUUCAAAACCUACCAGUGCUAUCUCAGGACAAGUCAGUAAUAUGAGAGAAGAUUCAAAAGCAGAAAUAAAAAGUGACACUACAGAAGCAAGGAAAACUAUUCCAAAACAAGAAAUUGAUUUGAGAAUUCAAGUAGUCUCAUCACCAUGCAGUCAAAUUUGUCCUAAAUAUCAGCAUAAGAAAGAAUUAAGUGGCCUUGCUGAGACCUAUGAAAAGAAACAAAAUCAGAAAACUGGAAUGAAAGUUGAAGAGCUUCCCAUGAAAACUCUGAGUGAAAAAGAAAAGAGAAAAAAAGCAGACAGAAAGAAAUAUACUAAGAACAGGAACAAGGAAAAGAAGGUGGAGAAUGGCCAAUCAAGGAAAGAAAAUAAGGAAAAAAGGGAACAAAAGAUAGGCAUGAAGAAGAUGGAAGACAAAGACAAGGGGUUUAAAUACAAGAAGGGAUAUGAAGAUACCAAAGACAAGGACACAAAAGAAAGUGAAGACAAGAAAGGAGAUGAAGAUAAGGAUAAGAAAGGAUAUGAGAACAAGGACAGCAAGGACAAGGAGGGAGACAAAGACAUGGAGGACCAGGACAAGAAGAAGGAUGAGGACAAUAUGGGACAGAAAGAUGAGGACAUGACGGAGGGUAAAAACAAGAAGGGAGAAGACAAAGAGGGAGAUGAAGACAAGGAGGAAAAUAAAAAGAAGGACAAGGACAAGAAGAGGUAUGAAGACAAGGAGCAACAAGACAACAAGGACAAGGACAUGAAGGAAGAUACAGACAAGAAGGGAGAACAUAAGGAGAGAGAAGACAAAGAUGAAAGACAAUGAGGACAAAGAGAACAAGAAGAAUGAGGACAAGGAUAAAGAAGGUGAAGACAAGGAGGACAAGGAUGAGGAUGAGGACAAGGACAGGCAGGGACAUGAAGACAAGGAGCAGGAAAAAGGCAUGGAUGACAAGGACGUGAAGGGAGAUAAAGACAAGGACGAGAAGGGAGAACAUAAGGAGAGAGAAGAAGACAACGAUGGAGAUGAAGACAAGGAGGACCAAGAGAAUAAGAAGAAUGAGAACAAGGAAAAGGGAGAUGAAGACAAGGAGGGCAAGAACCAGAAGGAGGAUGAGGAUGAGGUUAGGAAGGGACAGGAAGACAAAGAGAACAAGGAGGUUGAGGAUAAGGAUAAGGAAAAUGAAAACAAGGACAAGAAUGAGGAUAAGGACGAGGUUAGAAAGGGACAGGAAGACAAGGAGAGCAAAGAGGAUGCAGACAAGGAUAAGGGUGAUGAAGACAAGAGAGAAGAUGAUACGGAGAACAAGGACACAAAGGAAGAUAAAGACAAGGACAAGAAAGAAGAUGACAAGGAGGGAGAUGAAGACAAGUAGGAAAAGGCAAGAAGGAAGAUGAAUACAAGAAGGGAGUUGAAGGAGAACAAAAGUAUGAAAGGAAUCUAUGAAAAAAAUGGGUGAAAUAAUAGUGGGUAAAUAGGACAUGAAGGAAAUAGACCAGAAAGAUGCUGGGAAGAGAAUGAGCCAGUGAUAAGAGGUCACACUGAAGAAAAACAAUAGCAUCGCCUUUUAUAAACAAACAAUAGACAUAAAUAAUACAACUUGGACACCCCAGUCAUCAGUGGUACAAAUUAAAAUAAUAACCCCUUACAUUAUCUUUAGUCAAAAAUCACUGCUCCUUUGUUUACGGUCUGACAGAAGGUCCUUCAUAAUUUUCAUUUUUUUAGUUACCUCUGUCGCAAGAUUUAGCUUCCAAAUGUUUUUUCAAACUUUAUAUUCAUGAGGCAUCAUUGUAAGGAAAAUAAAAUUUUGUGACAUAAAACCA